GAUUUAGAGUCCAUCAGUGGCACCAGAUGAAGUGUUUACAGCUCAUCAGUAAAUCUGACCUCUUCCAGAACUGAAGCAGUCUGACUGGAUCUCUCACUAUUCUCUGACAGAAUCCAUCUCCUUUCCUCCUUGGACUUCAGUACUAUGUUGAAUAAAGUGGUGAAGUGGGAGUCCUUGUCUUGUGCCUGACCUUCGGGGAAAAGCUCUCAGUUUUUAAAC